AGGGCAUGAUGUAGUGAGAUACAUCUCUGUGUAUAUAGCUCAGGUUUUAGAGCAUAGCUCUAGUAUGGUAUUUUGGAAUUGGUGUAUGGUUCUGGCAUCUUUUAAAAGCUAAUUGGCGCAGCACUAGAUGCACCUGGUAAGCUGGGACCUGAUAAUGUAGUAAGAAUCAUCUUCUUAUGAGUAUUGGGCUUAGUUGCUACCAAGUACUGACAGCGAUAAGUAAGGUGAGUUGGAGGAUGUUAUCAGAUAGUACUCCCUCCGUCCCACAAUAUAAGAUCGUUUUGCAAGCUGUUUUAACUUGCAAAACGAUCCUGUAUCAUGGGACGGAGGGAGUAACUGAGAUGCAAGUUGAGGAUGUCGUGCCAAAUGAGCGGAUCGUUUGUGUUUAUAUUUCUCUGUUCUUUUGACCAUGUCAUGUGCUGAAGCUUUUAAUAUAUUUACUUUUGCUACUCUAGUGCAUAAUAAUCUAGAGCUUGGGCAAUCUGAAUACUUCCGUUGUCAUGGCACAAUUCUGGAUUAUAGUGUUUGCAUAGUUAAGUGUGAAUGUCGGUUCCCAUGUCCAUCUGAUAAUAACUGAAAUUAAACAAGGAAGAGGAUGUUCGGAACAAAAGAACCUGGAAAUUGGUCGUGGGAGGACUAGGACGGAGGUCUGGGUCUGAACAAACUUUCUAAUGAGUUGGUCUGCAUGUUCAAGAUCGAGGGAGUAACAUCAUACGAACGACUCAGUAUGUUUGCAUACAACACAUAAUUUAUACUAUCAGAGAAAAGCCUUUGCGUGAUGCGAGAUAAAAGAUUUUGCUCUUGUAAAAUGUGAAACAGUGGAUACUGGAUUCAAAUUUGCUGUCCUAUCGAGCAGGUGUCAUGCUUUGUACUUCCUCUGUUCAUAAAUAUUUGUCUUUUUAGAGAUUUCAACAAGUGACUACAUACGGAACAAAAUAAGUGAAUCUACACUUUAAUAUAUAUAUAUAUAUAUAUAUAUAUAUAUAUAUAUAUAUAUAUAUAUAUAUAUAUGGUAGUUCAUUUGAAAUAUCUAAAAAGACAAAUAUUUAAGAACGGAGAGAGUAAUACUCGGCUUGUGUUUGCGGCUGUCAUUCCAAUUAUGCAUUAUUUUUUGUUUGAUCAUGAACGGUAUACGUGUUGGACGCUUAAAGCAAAUCUAUGUACUUCAUAUUUCACAUUUUUGUUGAAAAAUAACUUUGUUUAGUCCANNNNNNNNNNNNNNNNNNNNNNNNNNNNNNNNNNNNNNNNNNNNNNNNNNNNNNNNNNNNNNNNNNNNNNNNNNNNNNNNNNNNNNNNNNNNNNNNNNNNNNNNNNNNNNNNNNNNNNNNNNNNNNNNNNNNNNNNNNNNNNNNNNNNNNNNNNNNNNNNNNNNNNNNNNNNNNNNNNNNNNNNNNNNNNNNNACACUUCCUUAACCCAAUAGCCAUGAAUCAAGACCUGGAUAGGUCCACGUGCUUUAUUUCAACACAUGACAUCGCAUCUGUGUUGUCACUUAUCCUUCUUCCCACCAUCCCCGAUGCUAGCCUUAGUGCUUGCACAAUCACAACACAUUGAAAUGUUUUCAAUCCUAAAGCGUCUCUCUCCCGGCAUUGAAAUGUUUUCAAUCCUAAAGCGUCUCUCUCCUGGCAUAACAUGAGAAAUCUGUUUUUUUCUUUGACGUUUGGCGAGGCGUGCAUGUGUAAUUAUAGAUGGUUUCUUUUGUCUCCAAUUUUGAUUUUGCUGAGGUAUUCAUUUCUAGUUCGGAUCGGCACCGAUAUUCAAAAAAGACGGAUCCUGCGCUAUUGAUUAAGGAUGCAUCCUAAAUAAUAUUUUUAAAAUGGUUAACAGGUAAAAUAACAUCACAUUCAGGUUCAACACAUUUUUCUAAUCAAAUUUCAUAUAUAACAUGUUAAAUUUGGAGUUAGGGUUUAAAAGGUAUGGUUAUUUUCAAAACACAUUUGAUAUGUCAUGGGGUUGAUUAACCCGAAUAUCAUAUGAGGUUUCCUCCAAAAGCAAAAAAAUCUAACUUAAAACUGACGCACAGGUUAAUUAUCGGAAAUAUCAAAGAGUUUUCUGCAAAAGUAAAAAAAAAAAUCUAAUUUUAAACUGUGCUGCUAGUUUAUUAUCAGAAACUCAGAGGAUUUUCUGUAAAAUAGCAUGACGAACCAAGAAUACCUAUUUCUGUUAGUAGUAAAAUAAAAAAGGUAUAGAUUUUCAAAAUGAAGAACACUCCUUACAUUCACUUUUUAAUUAGUUUUAGUUGUUGUUGGCACCUAUUUAUGCAUUUUUUUUAACAAGAGUCUAGCGACAACGCAUGUGGUAUCAUCCAGUAGCAUUUACAUUUGGGCAUUUUCGCAUGUUAGAUGCACAUUGAUUUGUACUCCCUCCGUCCCAUAAUGUAAGACGUCUUACAUUAUGGGACGGAGGGAGUACCUAUUAAUCAGUUUAUUUGUGUAAUUUUAAUUACUUUGACAUGCAUUUUAUUUUGGACUUUACAGAAUUUUGGAAUUUCCCUGUCUUCACUACAGUAAUCAAACGGUACAAAUAGCAUAGGGUAGCGUUGCAAUGGGCCGCCCUAUGUAGCCGUUUCCCUUUUUUCCCCUUUGGUUUUCUCCAGUGAUUUUUGUCGUUUUUACUUUAUUUUCUUCUAUUUUCUCAUUUCUUUAUUUUUCCUCGGCCUUUCAUUUUUGCCUGUUUUUCUAUUUCUUUUUUUCAUUUUUGUUUCUGUUUGUCAAUCCGUGGAUAUAUUUUAAAUUAUGAACAUUUUCUAAAAUUCAUGAUCCAUUUAAUCUAUUUUCGCAAACUCGUGAACACAUUUUCAAGUUUGUGAAAUAAUUCCUAAAUUUCACACAUCUUUUGAUUUCUCAAGUUUAUAUAAAAUUUUGAACUUUGUCAAAACUGAAAAAAUUGUUUUAAAAUUGUGAACAUUAUUUGUAAUACCACAUAAAUUAUUUGGAGGGGUUAAAAUACCAAAAAAUGGAAUAGACCCCAAAACGCGCACUGGGCUGGCCCACAGUACAUGCAAGUGCAUGUGUGGCAUAUGAUGGGUUCAUGGUGUAUUCUUGCUGAUUUCAGACAGCUUUUUAUAUCUAGACAUAUUUUUUCAUCCGAUUUGGUUCAUUUCUAAAAAAAAUCAUACUUUUAAAAUAAUAAAUUUUACAAAUGUCGAAACAUGUUGACGAAUUUAUAAAAUUGUUCAUGAGUUAAAGAAGUGUUUAAGAAUUUAGAAAUGUCCAGGAUUUCUAAAAUCUUUGUGAAUUUUUGAAAAAUCAUAUUUUUUGUUAAAAUGUAUAUUGUUGAAUUUUUCUUAUAUUUUUUUUAAAAAAAGGGAAACUAAAAUUACUUAUGUUUUUCAAAAAAUAAUCAUGAUUUAGCAAAACAUUCACUAUCUAUACAUACUAAUAAAGGGAGGUAAUAUUCUUUGUUUGGUUUGGACCGCUUUGUUGAUUUUCAUUUCGCCCGUCAUCAAUCACUAGCAAAAGAGCCUAUGCAUUGCAACGGGAAAAAACACGCUCUUAGCUCCAUAAUCAUGAUUGAAAACCUAAUAAGUCCACACCCUUUAAUUUAAAAGGGCAUCACAUUUGUGUUGCUGCUUAUCCUCUUUACUCUCGCGGGCGGUGGCCUCUGUUCUCAUACAACCAUAAUGCAUUUGAAUGUGGUCAACUCUAAGGCGUCUCUCUCCCUCCCCCUCCCCUCCCCCCUCUUUCUCUCUCAUGCUCUACGAAAAUAAGAUGAGAAAUAUUAUAACACCCACGAUGCGGCUAUAUCUCCCACGUGUCGGGGCACGACUUAGAGGCAUAACCGCAUGGUAGGCAUGUCGCAAGAGGGGUAAUCUUUACACAUCUCAUGUACUGAAAUAAGAAAGGGAUAAAGAGUUGGCUUACAAUCGACACUUCACACAAUACAUAAAUAUAGCAUACAUCAUCUAGAAUACAAUCAAGGUCCGACUACGGAACCAACAUAAAUAAAGACAAUCCCAAAUGCUAGAUCCCCGAUCGUCCCAAUUGGGCUCCACUACUGAUCAACAGGAAACGAAACAACACAACGAACAUGAUCUUCAUCGAGCUCCCAUUUAAGCUGAGUUGCGUCACCUGCACUGGUAUCAUCGACACCUGCAACAGUUUGGAAGUAUCUGUGAGUCACGAGGACUCAGCAAUCUCACACCCGCGAGAUCAAGACUAUUUAAGCUUAUGGGUAGGAAAGUGGUAGUGAGGUGGAGCUGCAGCAAGCACUAGCAUAUAUGGUGGCUAACAUACGCAAAUAAGAGCGAGAAGAGAACAAAGCACAGUCGUGAACUAGAAGUGAUCAAGAAGUGAUCCUGAAACUACUUACGUUCAAGCAUAACACAAGAACCAUGUUCACUUCCCGGCCUCCACCGGAAAGAGACCAUCUCGGCUACACGUGCGGUUGAUUCAUUUUAAUUAAGUUAAGUGUCAAGUUUUCUACAAUCGGAUAUUAACAAAUUCCCAUCUGCCUAUAACCGCGGGCAUGGCUUUCGAAAGUUCAAACCCUGCAGGAGUGUCCCAACUUAGCCCAUCACAAGCUCUCACGGUCAACGAAGGAUAUUCCUUCUCCCAGGAAGACCCGAUCAGACUCGGAAUCCCAGUUACAAGACAUUUCGACAAUGGUAAAACAAGACCAGCAAGACCGCCCGAUGCGCCGACAUCCCGAUAGGAGAUGCACAUAUCUCGUUCUCAGGGCAACACCGGAUGAACACUACGUACAGCUAAAACCAGCCCUCAAGUUUCCCCGAGGUGGCGCCGCAAGUGGCUCUGGUUUGGACCAACACUUAGAGAAGCACUGGCCCGGGGGGUUAAAAUAAAGAUGACCCUCGGGAGCGCGACUCCCAAGGGAAAAGUAGGUGGUGGUGAGGCAAAUGGUAAAACCAAGGUUGGACCUUGCUGGAGGAGUUUUAUUUAAAGCGAACUGCCAAGGGGUCCCCAUAACACCCAACCGUGUAAGGAACUCAAAAUCAAGGGACAUAACACUGGUAUGACGAAAACUAGGGCCGCAAGAGUGGAACAAAAUAUCAGGCAUAAGGCCGAGCCUUCCACCGUUUACCAAGUAUAUAGAUGCAUUAAUUAAAUAAGAGAUAUUGUGAUAUCCUAACAUAACCAUGUUCCGACAUGGAACAAACUUCAUCUUCACCUGCAGCUAGCAACGCUAUAAGAGGGGCUGAGCAAAGCGGUAACAUAGCCAAACAAUGGUUUGCUAGGAAAGGUGGGUUAGAGGCUUGACAUGGCAAUAUGGGAGGCAUGAUAAAGCAAGUGGUAGGUAUCGCGACAUAGCAAUAGAGCGAGCAACUAGCAAGCAAAGAUAGAAGUGAUUUCGAGGGUAUGGUCAUCUUGCCUGAGAUCCCGCAAGGAAGAAGAACGAGUCCAUGAAGAAGACAAACGGAUGUAGUCGAACGAAUCCUCACAACUCCGGAAUGAAACCCAAGCUAACACGAGAAUCAACCCGGAAAGAAGCAAGCAACAAAGUAAACAACCAUCACAUAAACAUGGCAUGAUGCACAACCAAGUAUGAUGCAUGCCCGGUUUAAUGAGGCAUGGCAUGGCAAUAUGGACAAACAAUCCUAAAAAUUAAGUGGAGCUCAAUAUGCAACGAGUUGCAUAUUGACGGAGCACCACAUUCAAGUUAUUUAGUUCGAUCUCGAUUAUGAACCUAACAAUAUCAAAUGUUGAUUAACAUGGCAAGAGCUGAAGCAAAUGAAAACUACCUAUCUGGGCAAGUUUAAAUGAGGCCGAAACAACAAACAACAAGUCCGGAAACUCCUCAUGUGCAUAUUUUAGGUUUUGGUACUGUUCUUCCCUAAACCAUAUUUUAGAGUUGUUAAACAUGCAAAGUAAAGCCACCAUGUUAAACUAGGCAUUUUUCUACCCUAUUUACAUAUAAAGUUUAUUAAAAACCGAGCUACGGUUAUUUAGUUAUGAAUUAAAGCAUUUUAACAUGGCAUUUGAACAAAUUUAAACAAAUAUCAUCUUAAACAUUUUUAACAUGCAUGAAAGUGGCAUAUUAUGAAACUAGAUGAAAUUCUAGUCAAGUUACAUAUAUGACAUGUUUUAUUUGGAUGCAUGGUUUGUGAGAUAUGAUAUGCAUGAAGUUUAAGAGCUAAUCCGUCCCUACAAUUAAAAUCGAGCGGUCGAGAAAAAUAGACUAGGAAGUCCAAAUAAGAAAACGGUGAUGUCUUGUAGAUGUUUGGGGAUGUUCCGGACCCAACGGUGAUGACUAUCCGGGUCGGGUUCGGGACAGUUUCAGACGCGCGUGCGAGGAGGGCCGCGGGCUGACGAGAGAGGUUAGGUUGGGCCUGGCGGUAGGCAGUGGACUGUGUAGACGGUCUCGAGCUGAGAGAAGAGAGGAGAGAGAGGCCCGGCGACUGUUUCCGGAAACCGAAAACGUCCGGCGUGUGCCCGGCUAUAAUGCCGCUAUAGUUAUUCGUUGGGGCGUCGAACGGACUCCGAAUGCGAUGAAACUUGGCAGGCGGCCAAUCUACACUAUAACAACACCGCAUGCCAACUUUCAAUCCAUUUCGAGAACAUUUUCCGACCACUUAUAAAAUACUAUUUCGGACAUGCCGCGGGCGCGUGCAAGUGUGUCUGGGCUCAGAACGGACAACGGAAGGAACUGGGAGAUCCGGACUAAUGCAAGUUUUGAAAAACAUGAUGCUGUAAUGCCCAUGAUGACAUGAUGAAAUGCAACACACAAGCAAAAGACUUGGCAACGACAGCGAAUAACUGGAAGACACCUGGCGCAUCGGUCUCGGGGCGUCAAAAAUAUGUUGGUUUUUAGAAUUGUGCAUGCGUGGUUACCAAUAUUUUAUUUCGUCUCAAUUUGGUUUUAGUGGUUGUUUAUUUGCAAUGGGGAUUGCCGCCAAUACGAAAGAAUAACAGACCAUGUGUUAUAGAUUAAGUUUACAUUCAAAAUAAUAUUUAAAAAAAAUUACAGGUAAAAUAAUAUCAUAUUCAGAUACUACACAUUUUUCUAAUCAUAUUUUAUAUAUAACAUGUUAAAAUCGGAGUUACGGUUUAAAAAAUGUGCAUAAUUUAGAAAAUCAAUUUUUUAGAUGGACUGUGAAUUGAUUAACCAAAUAAUCCGGGGGUUUUCUGUUAAAACAAAAAACAAUUCGUUUGACUUACAUAUGAAUGGCGGGUUAAUUACCUCCAAAGUUAGGGGGUUUUCUAAAAACACCACAAAAAAAGGUUUCAACUACGAUUUAAGUUGGACUAUGAAUUAAUUCACGUAAAAUGCAGGGGUGUUUCUAUAAAAGGGAUGACAGACGGGCAGAAAAGGCCUAAGCAUUGUAACGGAAAACAACACAACGCAAGGUGCAAGAAUCAUGAUGUGCAAAUGUGGUAUAGUUAAAGGAUAAACCUCACCCUCGCAAAAAAGGAUAAUUCUUGAAUGCAGAUGUUCACGCGUUGUCGCACCAUUAGAUUGCCACACGAGCUCAAAGAAGAUGUUUGAUUUGGACCAGACUUAUGUCGAAAUUGCUGAUGAGAUUGUGCUUGAGAUCGAUCUUUUGAACAUAUUAUGCUAGAGAGAGAUAAAUGUGCUUAGGCCUUUUACAACGCUAGGUGCUUAGAAAAGUAAAUUGGAUUUUUCUAAAGCACCAAUGUCUAUUUCUAUAGGAGAGGCGCCUAAUUAAGCAUCCACUCUCUACAAAUAAGCCCCGGUGCUUAAAGAAAGAAGGGUUUAUUUCUCAAAGCAUCUCCCCUAAGCGUCUUGUAUUGUACAAAGUCUUAAAAGGCCACUCGGAAAACCAAAAAAGUGAUGGCAUUAUCACUGCUUGAUUUCUAAGGUGGCACUUCGAAAUAUUUUUUGGCUGAGAAUCUUCGCGCUAUGGACCAUGGUAGAUGAAUCAUCCACUUUUCUUUGACCUAGGUCUAUACAUAGUAAGCGUGUCGACACGACACUGAGGCCGGCGGCUAGCGCUAGGAUGUGCCGGAUGUAGGCUACAAGGGAGGCAGGGAUGCCCCUAUCUUGCGCGACGUCUUCAACUUGCCCAAGCUCUACGAAAAUAAAAUGAGAAAUAUGUUGGUUUUUAGAAUUGUACAUGCGUGGUUAUCAAUAUUUUCUUUCGUCUCAAUUUUGUUUUAGUGGUUAUUUAUUUGCAAUCGGGAUUGCUGCCAGUAUGAAAGAAUAAUAGACCGUGUGUUAUAGAUUAAGUUUACAUCCAAAAUAAUAUUUUAAAAAUAUUGACAGGUAAAAUAAUAUCAUAUUCAUAUUCUACACAUUUUCUAAUCAAAUUUCCAUAUAACAUAUUAAAAUCGAAGUUACAGUUUAAAAGAUAUGCAUAAUUUCGAAAAGCAUUUGUUUUAGAUGGACUACAGAUUGAUUAACCAAAUAAUUUGGGGGGUUUUCUAUUAAAACAAAAAAAAUUCAUUUGACUUACAUAUGAAUGGCGGGUUAAUUACCUCCAAAGUCAGGGGGUUUUCUAAAAACACCACAAAAAGGGUUCGACUGCGACUUAAGUUGGACUGCAGGUUAAUUCACAUAAAAUGCAGGGGUGUUUCUAUAAAAAGGACAACGAACGGCCAGAAGCAAUAAUCCCUUUAUUAUUAGGUACUAGCAAAAAGGCUCGUGCGUUGUAACGGGAAACAACACAACGCAAGGUGCAAGCAUCAUGAUGUGCAAAUAUGGUACAAUUAAAGGAUAAAUCUCGCCCUCGUAAAAAAGGAUAAUUCUUGAGUGCAGAUGUUCGCCCACCUGUCUUCCAACCCGGCGCGUCGUCGCACCAUUAUAUUGCAUUAGAUUGCCACGCGAGCUGAAAGAAGACGUGGUUUGAUUUGGACCAGGCUUAUGUGGAAAUUGUUGAUGACAUUGUGCUUGAGAUUCGUCUUUUGAACAUAUUAUGCUAGAAAGAGAUAAAUGCGCUUAGGCCUUGUACAAUGUUAUGUGCUUAUGCUGGUGCUUAGAAAAGUAAAUCAAUUUUUUUAAAGCACCAGUGCCUAUUUCUAUAAGAAAGAUGCCUAAUUAAGUGUUCACUUUUUAUAAAUAAGUACAGAUGUUUAAAGAAAGAACGGUUUACUUUUUAAAGCACCUCCCUUAAACGUCUUGCAUUGUUCAAGGUCUUAAAAGGCCACUCAGAAGACCAAAAAAGUGACGGCGUUAUCAAUGCUUGAUUUCUAAGGUGGCACUUCGAAAUAUUCUUUGGUUGAGAAUCUUCGUGCUAUGGAUCAUUGUUGAUGAAUCAUCCACUUUUCUUUGACCUAGGCCUAUACAUAGUAAGCGUGUAGACAUGGACGCCGAGGCUGGCGGCUAGCGCUAGGAUGGGCCGGAUGUAGGCUACGAGGCAGGCAGGGAUGCCUCUAUCUUGCGCGACAUCUUGAACUUGGGGAGGGAUCCUAAAGUCCUCCACCUCGACCAACUGCAGUGUCAAGUUGAGCGAGCUUGCGUACUAGUGCCUGCAAAUCAUUUGUGUCAUUAGGGAUACAUAUGUACAUGAUGAAUGCACGGUUGCCGCCGCCGUUGCUAUCGACCGCCUACAGUGUGAAAGCUGAGCUUGCUUGCGUUACGGUGCCAGGGAGUUAUAUAUACAUGUUGAACCUAUGCUUGCGGCCACCGCCUUCAUANNNNNNNNNNNNNNNNNNNNNNNNNNNNNNNNNNNNNNNNNNNNNNNNNNNNNNNNNNNNNNNNNNNNNNNNNNNNNNNNNNNNNNNNNNNNNNNNNNNNNNNNNNNNNNNNNNNNNNNNNNNNNNNNNNNNNNNNNNNNNNNNNNNNNNNNNNNNNNNNNNNNNNNNNNNNNNNNNNNNNNNNNNNNNNNNNNNNNNNNNNNNNNNNNNNNNNNNNNNNNNNNNNNNNNNNNNNNNNNNNNNNNNNNNNNNNNNNNNNNNNNNNNNNNNNNNNNNNNNNNNUAUCGCCGGUUUGGGCCGAAAUAACAACCAGCGAACCCAAGCCGAACCCAGCACACCGGGAGGGCGCCUGGGGGUAUCGGCUGAAGCGAAAAGGCGCGUGGGUCCGUGUUGUCGGCGACAGACCGGCCUAUUCCCGCCGUUUCCUCCCUUUUCACUCCAUUUCCCCAGCACUUGCCCCUGUCUCCCCCGCCGCUCCCGCCAUUCUCCUCAGAUCCGGCCGCCAUGCCGUCGAAGAAGUAUGCGCCCCCGCCUCGCCACCGAUACCGCCCAACCAAAGCAGAGGCAUCUGAGGGCACCGAUGGCAAGGCCGCAUGGCUUGUCGAACGCCGAGUGGAAGGCGGACGUUGAGCGCCGGGAGGCGGUCACCACCGAUCGGCAGAACAGGCUCAUCACCAAGAGGGCCAGGGAUGCGGCGGCGGCGACGAAGGGGCAGGGAAGGCGUCUCGCGCGGGGAUGAUGAACCUUCUGCCCGACCACUGCCCACAAGCCCCAUGGGGGAGCCAGCAAAGCUCGCGUCACCGGCCAACUUCUCGCCGGCGCUAUGGGGUACGCGCCCUCGCCUGGCUACUCCGACGGCGACGCGCAUGGCGGCUUCAACCCCAACACCACCUUCCCGCAUGGCACAACGGCACGUGCCUCCCCUCCAGCUUCAACCCCGACCCAAACACUCCCUCCCCUGCGUUCGCCGUUGGCCUCAACACCCAGUAUAGCUACUCGCCGUCGGCGUACUUAGGCUCGCCCAUGCCACCUCUGCGUCGUGUCACCCUACCCUUCGCACACGGUUCGGCGCCACAGUUCAGCAACACCGACACAGACAUGGACGAGAUCAUCACGAGCGACUUGGUCGCCGCCCCUUCGUGCCCCGGGUUCCGCGUGCAAGACAAAAUGAUGGACACCGCUGUCGACAUGGACGACGAGCUCGACGAUGCCGAGGAGGAGGCGGAGCCAGCGCCGAAAGGGAGAAAGAAGAAGCGGGCGCCCAAUGCUAGGCCGGGCGAGCCUCGCGUCAAGUGGACGUCCAAGGAAGACAAAUGCCUCGCCGAAGCAUGGAAACCCGUCAGCAUCGACCCGAUCACCGGCUCGAAUCAGAACGCUGACACGUAUUGGAGAUGUAUCAAGACGGUGUUCGACGAGCGCAAACUGGUCGACCCCGACUUCACCAACAUUCACAUGGAUCGCCGCGACAAGGCCAUGGCGAACCAUUGGGCGACCAUCCAGGCGACCUACAACAAGUGGCAUGGGAUCCUAGAGGAGGUCGCGGCUGGCCCGAAAAGCGGCGCCAACAUCGAGGGGAAGGUAUGGCCAGUCGUUGGCUUAGUUCUUUCGCCGGUACUUCACUGACGCUUGUUCUUCGGCUGUGCAGAUGGUUUGGAUGUCACUACUGGAAUUAGGAUCUUUUCCAUCAGUCGGCUCUUUGUCGUCCGCUAGCUGAUGUAGGGUGGAACCCUAGAUGGCCGAUCUUUCACGAAAGGAGCGGAUCCCGCGAAGAACACGAAGAACACGAGGGAAAUCAUGAGGGGAAACACAAGGGGAAACACGAGAGAAUCACUCAAACCAACAAGAUUAAGUCACACAUGUGCUAGAUCCUCGAAACACGAGAGGAGAUACAAGAUCCAAAGUCAACAAGGGACGAUACAAUGUGUAACCGGUCUUCUCCAUGAGGAGGUCUUGAAUCCACAAGGGGAUCUUCCCGUAAAGGGGUCUUGAAUCCAAGGUGGAUCUUCUCCGAAGAGGGGCCGCGAUCUCUCUCAAGGAGUAGAUCCGAUAUGGACGAGCGAAGCUCUAUCUCUCAAAUGAGCUAUCACAACGCUAACCCUAACUAGGAGGAGGGGAAGGAGUAUAUAUACUCUAAGCCACGAAGGGGUAAGUGGGAAAGGGAUACAUGGGCCUCUGGCCCGACUCUGCGCUCAAGCAGGCGCCGGAUGUCCGGGCUGGGGGCCGGAUGUCGGCCGUUCGCGGGAGGCCGGAUGUACGGGGCAUGGGCCGGAUGUCCGGGCUGAAGUGGCAGUUCGAGUCCUUCUCUGGAUAGCGGAUGCCGGAUUUCCGGGAGGGAUGCCGGAUGUCCGGCGUCGCUGAGGCGCCGGAUGUCCGGGCACACGGGCCGGAUGUCCGGCCGCUGAUGCUUUGGCCGUCUGUUGGUGCAGCUCCUUGGAGGCUGCACAGGCGCUGGAUGUCCGGCCGCUGUAGCUUCAGCAGCUCCAUCUUCUUCUGUCGUCGCUUCCAGGCUUCCCUCACGGAUGGUGUAGUUGUUCCUUGUCACUUGCACUCCUCCUCAACAUCCGUGAAGCUCCGACAAUACCUAUGCAUGCACACGGGAGAAGUGUCAAGUAGUAUACCAUCCUCGAAGGGGUCAAGUGAGCACAUGUAAAGGAGAUGAUUCACCUUUAUGUAUGUGAAGUAGAUGUCACACGUGUCACUUGCCAAACGGACUCUUGACAUGGUGAUGUCCAUAGGAUGCUCCGCAUCAUCUCCCCUCCCUUGGGAAAGAUCCGACCUCGGAUCGGAAACCAAAUCACCAUGGGAAAGAGAUGGCUUCGCCGUGUAGAAGUGGACGCUCACCAAGUACUUGUCAUCUUGAAGCUCGAAAUGGGCACUCUUCAAUGUCGCACCGUCUUGUGAUUCCUUCAAUAGGAGUAAGGACAACAAACACUUGGAAAAACAAAUGUGGUUAGCGUUAGUGCAAAACCAAGCAUUCAAGAGGUUAUUCACCAAACAAGCGUCGUCAUGAUGCAAAGCAUAUGGUGUGACAAAGGAUUGUGACAUGGCAUAUAAGCACAUAAAUUGAGCACAAGCAAAGAUAUCAUGGGGACAAGCAUGUAAAUGUGAGGUAGUGAUGCAAAUAUGUUGGAUAAGUGAAUAAGAAUCUACCUCAAGAUCAUAGCAAACAUGGGCAAAGCGCUCAAUGAAAGGUCUAUGGUAGGCAAAGGAAUCAUUCACAACACCAAAAGAAAUGAAGUGUCUAAACACAUGGGUCAAGUGCAAGACAAUCCAAGCAUAAUGUGCAUAGGGUGUAAUGAAUAUAGUGUGGCACUCAACACAAUAGAAAGAGAAAUUGUUCAUCAUGCGUGAGGCAAUCAAGGCAAGCAUGUAGCAAGCAAUGAGACAUGGCAUAUGUGAAGAAAUGAUAUUGUUGCAACCAAGCAUGUGAUAGGAGCAAAUAAUCCAAGAAUUGGAUGCAACACACAAGGCAUAAAUAUCAUGAUGCAUGGAACGUUGAAAAUGACAAGUUGAAGCAAGAUCUCUAGCAUGUGUGCAAUCAAGUCUCAUGGUGCAAGCAACACAAGUAGUAUGAUCCUCAAUAUCCAUGCUCAUGGUAUGGGGGUUCUCAAAAGAGAAGGAUAUCACCUUGAAAGCAUGUCCUUGUGCGUCCUUCACAAUGCCGAAGUACAAGCAAGUGCGAUGUAGAAUCGUCGUGGUAGGAGGUGGUUCGCUCUCAAGAGCUCAAAUGGUCAACUCACAUGCUGUGGAAGUUGACACGAGGUCCAAGUUUCCUACACAUGCACAAAACAAGGCAAAGAACGUAUGUGCAUGGUAGAUAAACACAUCAUCCAUCAUGAUGGGUCUCUUCUCUUGCACAUAAACAUUAGAAGCACAAGUGCAUGAAUAUUAUGAUGCAACAACGACAAGCAAUCAUGAGAAUCAAGUCGUGCAAGCUAGUAGUGCGAAGAUGCAACAUACUAGAGGAAAUCAUGGCAAUCAUGUCAUGUGAGCAAAUAAUAAGCAUAGGCAAUGCACAUGACAUAUCACAAGCACGAACACAAAGCAAGAUCAUAGUAUAAUCAUAGGCAUGGGGAACAAAGCAAACAUGGCAAUAACAAGUGAUAUCUCCACCAAGCUUGCAUAUACACAUACAAGUAUGAGAAUCAAUCAUCAUGUGUAAUGCAAAGCAUGGGUCACGAAUGCAUGGCAAAGGCAUAGUAAUGAGCAUAUCAUGCAAAGUGAACAUGGCAAGAUGGGCAUAUAAUAUGUAAUGGACAAUAAACCAUAGCCAAGUGAGGGUCAUGUAGAAGGAAUGCGCGAAGUCUUUGCGUGAAGAGAGCGGUGGGAAAGACAAUCCAUGUGAUCCCAAGUCAUUGUUUCUCUCUAGAGCUUGUUUUGUCAACUCGUGGGAUUGCGAGGUUGACAAGUAUUCAUGGGUACCUACACAAAAGAAACACAGACCAAAGAAAUUGUGUAUGUGGUAAACAUACACAUCAUCCAUCAUGAUGUGUAUGUGCACGUGAGAGUUAGCACAAGAUAAGCAUCGCUCAAAGAAAUUUGAUACAUGGUAUAAGAACAUGUCAUCCAUCAUGAAAGAAUAGUUAUUGUGUAUAACAUGAUGGGGACACAAAUUGAGAAUGCAAGUAUAUGGCACAUCAAUAGCAUGUUUAUUCAUGGGAAGCAUAUGGUGCACACAAGUAUUGGGAUCAUGCAAAGAAUGGGAUGAAUCAAAAUCUCCUAAAAUGUAUGAGGAAACUAUGGGGGUCUCCUCAUGAGCAAUAUUGGAAACAUCAUAUGGAGAAAAUGGACAACAUCCAAAACAAUGCAUAUCCGAAGCUAGGUAGUCAUGGCAUGGCAUAUGAGAUAAAUGAUGCAAAGGGAUCAUAUCAAUAUCAUCACAAGAAAAACAAAUGCCAAUAACCAUGGGCUUGUCAUCUAUGCCAUAUGUGCAAAUUGGGUUAAUUUUAAUGGCAUAUGCAUAGUCACUAUGAAGAGAUUGCAAAUAUGACAUAUGAUUGAUCUCAUGCAUAGCAUAUGACAAGUCAAGCGGAUUGUCAAACAUGAUGUGACCUAGAGAAUUGUCACAAGAAAUCCUAUGUAACAUGGCAUCAGAACUAAAAGACUCCACAUGGCAAUCAUCAUACUCAUCAUAAAUGGGUAAAUCAUCGCAUGGGGAAAUCAUACUAGCAUGAAGCAUGUCAAUAGGGGGAUCAACAUCAUGCAAGCAAUCAAUGUCAUGAAUGUCCGCUAGUGGGACUAGAGCAUCACCUUCACCUAUGUUACCUUUGUCAUUCCACUCAUGUGGUGUAGGUGAGGUGGGAAAGACCAAAUGGUGGUCAUCUUCAUCUUGAUGGAACCAUGUGGGGGGUGCAUCAUAUUCCACCAUGGCCAUCAUCUUUUCCAAAGGGAGGACGAAGUCAUCACGAAUCGGCGCGUCAUCAUAGAUGGGACCUAGCACCAAAUGAGAAGACACAAUAGAGGUAGAGAUCAAGUCGUUAGUGUUGAAAGUGGCCUCACAUGACCUAUGAACUCUCUCACUCUCUCUAUGUGGUGGUUCACUCCCUCCCUCAAGGUAGGUGCACUCAAUGUCACAUAUCGUGGAGUCACUCAUCUCACUCAAGUGGUGGGGGUUGUGGCUCUCCUCACAUGGGAAUUGUGGAAACACAUCAUAUAUCGGGCUAGUGGUGAAGUCACUCUCACUCUCAAUAUGGUGGCUAAAGUCACUCAAGUCAACAUAUGUCGCCGUGGUUGAAGGGAAAAUCCCAUGCUCAACCAUCUCGUUGUCGUCGCCGUGGAUGAAGGCCGAAGAUGGCACAUCAUCACUCUCGCCUCCUAAGAUGGAAGCAUCCUCCAUGCUCGUCACCAUGUCGCAUGCCUCCAAAGCAUGUUCCUUGAUUGGCUCCAUAGUCGUAGUCGUCUCCACACCAUCUUGAAAAAGAUUCAAAGUAGACUUGGCACCAUCAAUGCCACAAAGAGGGAUGGCGAUGAAGUCGAACUUGGGAGCAUUGUCUUGGAGCUCGUCGGGCUUGGACAUCUUGGUGGUACUAUCCUCAUGCUCACCUUCUUGGAGCUUGGUCUUCGAGAAGUGUGCUUGGGGUGGAGAAGCCUUGGCCUUCAUGAGUUCUUGUUCCGCCUUGAGAGCACCAAUGUAGUUGUCGUUGAGGGACUUGUAGUUCUUGAGGAAGAUCGUCUUGGAGAUGUCCUUGUGUAAUCCCAUCAUGAAGUGGAACUUCAUCGAAAUGGGGUCGUCCAUGUCGGCUCGUCGCAAGGCAAUCUUCAUCUCCUUGAAGUACUCGUCGAUGGACUUGGAUCCUUGGAUGGUGUUAUCCAAUUGGCGUUGAAGUUGUUCCGUGUAGGUUGGAGGCACAAACUCUCGUCGCAAAGCUCUCUUCGUCUUGGGCCAACUCAUGUUGUAGGUCUCCGAAGGUGCGUGAAGCCACCAUGUCGACGUGUAGUCGUGGAAGUUUCUUGUGGCGCACUUCACUUGAUCUUCGGGAGGGACUUGAUGUAGCUUGAGGUAGUCGUCCAUUAGGUGCUCCCACUCAAGAUACUCCUUGGGUUCUUGAGUCCCAUAGAAAGGAAUCGCGUGGUCGAUGUCGAGGUCGUAGUAGCUUGUGGAAGUCACGUACUUGAGCUUGGGGAGCUUCUCUUGAGCGUAGUCUUGAGGUGCUUGUUGGCGAAGAUGCCAUAUGUCCGUAGGCGAAGGUGCCUUGAAGUCGCUUGGCGAAGAUGCCAAGGGAGAUGGUGAAGUCGUUGAGCGGUUGUUGGUGUUGAGCUCUUGACCUUCACGUCCUUGUUGGUGAUGGUGUCGAUGCCAAUUUGAUUUUGCCGGAGAUGGUAGCUCGGAGACAUGUGCUCUUGAGCGUCUUCUCGAAGAUGAGGAAGACCGCUUGUAGGACUUGAUGAGGGCUUUGAUCUCCUCCAUUUGAGCUUGCAUCUUGGCGUCGUUGGAGUUGUUCAUGGCAUCAAACUCGUCAUUGUUGUUAUAGACCGAAGAUGAAAUGCCUUGCCUAUCCAUCACUCCAAGAGAAAAAUGUGAGUGGUAGAAAGAGAAGAACGAAUGCCAAAUGUACCUUAACCGAAGUUGAAAGUGGAUCAAUGAUCACUCCAAUGUGGACAAGGAAAUAACAUGAUUGGUACCAAUUCUUGUCGGUUUCUCACACCUACACAAAUAAGGCUUAUGGUGGAGCUCGGUGAGGAUAGUGGCACAAAAAGUUGAUGUAAAAUGUUAGCCAGAGUCAAUAAUGUUGAAAGAGAUUCACAAAUUCGCAAGUGAAACAAGUAGACCAAUAAAAAUGAAUGGCACACGGAAACACACACACGGAUAGAUAAAUGGGGUCGUGCAACCAAGGAUGAGCACAAAAUGUGGAAUCCACGGAAAAUGCUCGUGUUGCACAACUCAAGAGAGACGCUAGCACGAUUGCUCAAUAGGCGGAUACGACACUUGUGCACAAACUAUAAGAUGCAAAAUGUAUGAACGUUCUAUCCCAAGUAUGCCAUGUAUGUAUGGUUCCCGGUGUUUCUCACAAGGUGAUCCAAGAUGAUCUUAUAUGCAAGGUGGUAUGAUGCUAUGGCUAUUGCUUACAAGCUUCUUUGCUCUUUCUCUUUUGCUUAAAAGCUUAUUCUUUUUUUUGUAUGGCCACUUUGCGAAAUGCACAAACCAAGGUAGCAAUUGUAUAUAUGCAAGAACAAACUUGAGGCACACGAGAUGAUAUGAUACCAAUAUGAUAUGGUAUGUAUGCAAUGUAUGGUGUAGAUCACUAAUGUGCACAAGUAACGUUGCCGACAAUACUCAAAUAGCUAGUCUCGAUAGGCAAGUAACGCAAAAUAGGCUAGGGGUUAUCAAUCCAAUGGCAAGGGAAUAUACAAUGGAGGGAUACCACGAUACCAAGAUGAUAUGGAGGUUACCGUCCUUGGCGAUGAUGAGUGGCGGUGAUCUUGAUGGAGAUACCAAGAUGAUGGAGACUCGUCCCUAAGUAGCCGAAACACCUUAGAAAAUGGAAAAACCGCGAACUCAAAAUCUCAAAUGUCAAAUGGUGGUAGCGGGAAAGUGGUGGUGGUUUUGGAAGCUCAAUGGAAUUGCGGAAUGGAAAUGAUGGGUUGUGGAGUAUGCAAUGCGGAAGUCGAGGGUAAGGUGGUGGACUAUACACGGUGUCGGAGUUGGAAGCAUGGCCCCUAAGUAGCCGAAACACCUUAGGAGACACAACUAACAACACAAACAAAAUUGGGUUGGUGAAAGUGUAUGGUGGGCAAGCCUAUGCGGGAGUUAUGGUGGUGGUGGUGGUUGAUGAAGAAGAAAUCGUCCCUAAGUAGCCUAAACACCUUAGGAGAGUCGAAUGACUACUCAGGCAACCACAAAUGCUAUAAGGAACAAAAUUGGUCAGGUUGCGGAAGUCGGUGGUGGUUAUGCGGAGGUUGUGGUGGAAGCCCUAGGCAAAGAUGCCAAAGUUCCAAAAAUUUGAUGGAGUCAAAUGGUUAUGGUAAUAUUUUUGUUGGAAGGGGGAUGUCAAGAGCUUUUCAACGAGCUAAAGAACGCGAAAAUCGGACUUCGGAUGAAUUAGUUAUGGACAAAAUGGUGAAACGGGGAUGACUGAGAUGUCAGGGGCCGGACAUCCGGGCUCGGGGCCGGAAAUCCGGGACCUGAUGUCCAGAACCGAGCAGAUUUGGUGCUCUAGGAGCCGGAUGUCCGGCUUGGGGCCCGGAUGUCCGGCCUGAGGCCCGGAUGUCUGGCCCGACGAUUCCUGAUCUCGUUAGGGGCGGAAAUUUUCGAAUUGGGGGCGGAAAUUGAUGAUUUCAAGGGCAAAAUUUGAUGGAUUUCGUGGAUGAAAAGUGGGGAAACUUGGGGUAAGAUAGAUCUACUCAAGACACAAUGAAUCCAUGGAUCAAAAUCAACAAAAUAUCAUCACACCAACAGAUCACAAAAAAAAUUUGUGGCUAUUUUUGGUGGGGAUUUUUGAAAUUGGGGAAUAACACAACAAAAUUAGGCUAGAAAACGAAGAGGGGAGGCUCCGAAAUCGUGAUCAACGUGGCUCAUGAUACCAAGCUGAUGUAGGGUGGAACCCUAGAUGGCCGAUCUUUCACGAAAGGAGCGGAUCCCGCGAAGAACACGAGGGAAAUCACGAGGGGAAACACAAGGGGAAACACGAGAGAAUCACUCAAACCAACAAGAUUAAGGCCUUGUUCGGAGAGCUUCCACUCCACAACUCCACUCCCGGAGUUGGUGGAGUUGCAGUUGAAAACUGCGGAGCAGCUAUUUCCUGACUCCACAACUCCUGGAAUUUUGUGGAGCUGGUGGAAUUCCGAACAGGCGUUAAGUCACACAUGUGCUAGAACCUCGAAACACGAGAGGAGAUACGAGAUCCAAACUCAACAAGGGACGAUACAAAUGGUAACCGGUCUUCUCCAUGAGGAGGUCUUUAAUCCACAUGGGGAUCUUCCCGUAAAGGGGUCUUGAAUCCAAGGUGGAUCUUCUCCGAAGAGGGGCCGCGGUCUCUCUCAAGGAGUAGAUCCAAUAUGGAUGAGCGAAACUCUAUCUCUCAAAUGAGCUAUCACAACGCUAACCCUAACUAGGAGGAGGGGAAGGAGUAUAUAUAGUCUAAGCCACGAAGGGGUAAGUGGGAAAGGGAUACAUGGGCCUCUGGCCCGACUCUGCGCGCAGGCAGGCGCCGGAUUUCCGGGCUGGGGGCCGGAUGUCCGGCCAUUCGCGGGAGGCCGGAUGUCGGGGGCACGGGCCGGAUGUCCGGGCUGAAAUGGCAGUUUGAGUCCUUCUCUGGAUAGGGGAUGCCGGAUUUCCGGGAGGGAUGCCGGAUGUCCGGGCGUUGCUGAGGCGCCGGAUGUCCGGGCACACAGGCCGGAUGUCCGGCCGCUGAUGCUUUGGCCGUCUGUUGGUGCAACUCCUUGGAGGCUGCACAGGCGCCGGAUGUCCGGCCUCUGGCCCGGAUGUCCGGCCGCUGUAGCUUCAGUAGCUCUGUCUUCUUCCGUGGUCGCUUCCAGGCUUCCCUCGCGGAUGGUGUAGUUGUUCCUUGGCGCUUGCACUCCUCCUCAACAUCCGUGAAGCUCCGAUAAUACCUAUGCAUGCACACGGGAGAAGUGUCAAGUAGUAUACCAUCCUCGAAGGGGUCAAGUGAGCACGUGUAAAGGAGAUGAUUCACCUUUAUGUAUGUGAAGUAGAUGUCGCACGUGUCACUUGCCAAACAGAAUCUUGACAUGGUGAUGUCCAUAGGAUGCUCUGCAUCACUAGCUCAUGGCAAAGAAGGUCUUUGCCAUCAGGUUAAGAAAAACUGACGGCAAAGAAAAAGCUGACGACAAAGGUAAUGUUUGCCGUCAGCUACCUCGUUGCCAUCCGCUAGCUAACGUCAUAGAAUCUCUGCCGUCAGCUAGCAGACGGCAAAGAGGGAGGGUGGCGUACUAGCGAGGGCCACCUAACGGCCACUUUCUUUGCCGUACGCUAGAGGACGGCAAAGAAAGUGGCCAACUUUAGCUAGGCUCUUUGCCGUUCGCUAGCAGACGACAAAGAGCUGUGACCUAAGCUAAAAAGCGGCCAGCCCCACAUCCCCUCCCUCUCNNNNNNNNNNNNNNNNNNNNNNNNNNNNNNNNNNNNNNNNNNNNNNNNNNNNNNNNNNNNNNNNNNNNNNNNNNNNNNNNNNNNNNNNNNNNNNNNNNNNNNNNNNNNNNNNNNNNNNNNNNNNNNNNNNNNNNNNNNNNNNNNNNNNNNNNNNNNNNNNNNNNNNNNNNNNNNNNNNNNNNNNNNNNNNNNNNNNNNNNNNNNNNNNNNNNNNNNNNNNNNNNNNNNNNNNNNNNNNNNNNNNNNNNNNNNNNNNNNNNNNNNNNNNNNNNNNNNNNNNNNNNNNNNNNNNNNNNNNNNNNNNNNNNNNNNNNNNNNNNNNNNNNNNNNNNNNNNNNNNNNNNNNNNNNNNNNNNNNNNNNNNNNNNNNNNNNNNNNNNNNNNNNNNNNNNNNNNNNNNNNNNNNNNNNNNNNNNNNNNNNNNNNNNNNNNNNNNNNNNNNNNNNNNNNNNNNNNNNNNNNNNNNNNNNNGCUGCCCCGGCCCGGCUGCCCCGGCCGCCCCGCCCCGACCGCCCGACGCCCUACCCCGCCGCCCAAGCCGCCCCGGCGCCCCACCCCGCCGCUUCGGCGCCCCCUCCUCCAUCCCAGGCACCCCGCACCUGAAGGUGAGACACCCCUCUUUUUUUCUUUUUUCUUUUUUUAGAUUUAGUUUAAUUUAGGCGUUGUUUAGUUUAGGUUUUGUUUUUGUUUUUUAGGUUUAGAUUUAGUUUAGCUUAGGUUAAGUUUAUUAGGUUUAGUUUACGUUAAGAAGAAAGAUGAAAAAAA
rnacentral:lncRNA from 1 species